GGGACGGGGAGAUUAUUGGGCCUAAGCAUCCGUAGCCGGUUCUACAGUCCUCCGUUAAAUCCAACUGCUUAACAGAUGGGCCGCGGAGGAUACUAUAAAACUAGGAGGCGGGAGAGGCAAGCGGUACUCAGUGGGUAGGGGUAAAAUCCGUUGAUCCAUUGAAGACCACCAGUGGCGAAGGCGGCUUGCCAGAACGCGCUCGACGGUGAGGGAUGAAAGCUGGGGGAGCAAACCGGAUUAGAUACCCGGGUAGUCCCAGCUGUAAACGAUGCAGACUCGGUGAUGGACUAGCUUAAUGCUAGUCCAGUGCCGCAGGGAAGCCGUUAAGUCUGCCGCCUGGGGAGUACGGUCGCAAGACUGAAACUUAAAGGAAUUGGCGGGGGGAGCACAAG
rnacentral:rRNA from 1 species